AGGAAAUGCUCCAUGGGUAAUACAAGAACAAUAUUUUCUUUCCAAGUACAUGCCAUGCAUGACAAUGUUUGGGAUGAACGUGCACUUAUAGGUCCUCUCUUUGAUCUGAUGCCUUGGCUUGAAACAAGCUUCUCGACUGGUGGUGAGUGUUUAUCAGUUUGGUUCUUGUCUUGAGGUAUGCGUAUUUGCAAAUGUGAUGAUCAUUAAUUUUAAAUUUUUUUUGUUGUUCCUAACAUGAAAUCCGCAGAAGAUGUUUUGAUAGCAAGGUUAACCCCCUUUCAUCUUACUGGGCCUAGUUGGGCGAG
rnacentral:lncRNA from 1 species